ensembl:lncRNA
UGCGCACACACGUUUGUGCCUGUGCAUUUGGGUGUUGUUUGCCCGUGUGUGUGUGCGCGUGCAUGUGCAUGUGUGACCCCAGCGGUGGUAGUCGCCAGGCCCCUAGAGAGUUCUUUAACCCCCUAACAGAGUCAGACUGAUUUACAUUGAAAUGGGAGAGUGGCAGGGCCUCUUUAUGGACUGUUUGCUUUUGCUCUAUAGAAAAGCCUGGACUCCACCCCUCUCUGUCACACGCUAGUUUAUGCAUGCGUACGUGCACGCCCAUACACACGCAUAGUCACGGUGGACACAUGGGAAUUCGCCCUGCCGUGGGUCGCACAGUUGCUUUUCCAAACUGUUGUGCUGUUAUGCCCUCUUUAAGGAGCUGGAUUGUGUGUGUGUGUGUGUGUGUGUGUGUGCAUGUGUGUGUGUGUCCGUGCACAUGAGUUAUGAGGGUCAGGCCUGUGUGACUGAAGCCAUGUGGACGUUAGCUGAUUGUUUUUCCACCUCACUCCACAGCUCUCCUACAUUUCUAAUGACUGCUGUCCAGAGCUGAUCUGAGGUCCCACUGGUUCCCAACCAGCCCCACCAGUGUGGGAGUGGUCCCACACUCCAGAUUAACGCGGCCCGGGGCCUCCGUACAGGGAGGAUCAAAAUGUGAACCCGUGCCAGUGCCGGAGAGGGUUCCCAAAGUUGGUGAUGGCUGCCAGAGAGAACUCAGAUGGAUGCUGAGUCUGAGCUACGUGAAACACAGGGAUAAGAUCUGCAGAUAUGAAAGCAGCCUAAUGGCAGACUGGAGAAUUGAGUAUGAAGCGGUGGCAUAAGCGGGCAUACAUUAUCCUUUAGAUACCCUCAGUACUCACACAGCAGAAAAUAAUGUACUGCAUUAUAUAAGACUUAAAUGUAUCUCACAAGACGAGCAUUUUGUUUCCCCCCAGUGUGAAUAAUGACCUGCACUUUAGGUCUCACAACAUCAGAGAGGAAUAACUAUUUAUCUAUCAUUUACGGGUAUGAAGAGAAACCGUAAUCACAUGUGUGUCUGCUUCCUGCAGGCGAGGGGGGCAGGCUGGGUGAGGGUCCCGGAGGGGAUAGGGUAACAGGUGGGCCGAAUGCCAUUCACAAGGGUCAGACCGCACAAUGCCAGCUUCUCCCUUUGAUGCUGAUACCAUCUUCUGUGUGUCUGCUCGGCCCGGGUCCCUAUUUCACCGCUCAGCGACUCUACAUCCACUUGCCUCCGAUUGUGUCGGCGGAACAGCCCCCGGAUCCAAUAACGCAGUCCCGCUGUAAGGAAAUUACCCGUUUUAAUAAUGGCCGUCAACACAUGCCCUGUGGAUAGAAUAUGAAAUAUAUAUAUAUAAUAUUCAGAAUCCAAGUGUGUUUGUGUAGGUGAGCAGCAUCAAAUCCCAUCAGUGAGUUUUAUCAGAGCCUUUAAAAUGUACUUAAUUAACAUUUUUCUAUUGUGAGAGGGCUUUUCGUUUUGUAUUGCCCACGUAAACUAAACUCUUUUGGAGUAGAUCAGAGAAUAUUGACAUUUUAUUCUGGUCAAUUUAAAGGCACUUUAACACAAAAUAUCUCUAGAUCACCUUAAAAUGAAACAAGGGGGAUAUUCAGAGCAUUAAUAUAGCAGCAAACCACUAUUUUCUAUGUAAACGUAUAGUAGAGUAACAUUUAAUGUCACUUGUAACAUCACUGUUAGCAACUGGUGAGAGCCAUAGAGCGGCAAACCCAACGCUCCCAAUCUCAUAAAUAGCACCUUUAACACGGAGUACGUCCUCAUAAGAGCCACACGACUCCACACACGUCCCCCAUGAGUACGCUAAGCCGGCACCACCAGUAAUGUGUUUGUAUGCAGAACAAAUAGGAUUUAAUCCCCGAAGCUGUUAGACUUGUGAGCAUCCACAGUACAUGAAGGGAUCAGCAUUCCUUGUGUAUAGCAUUAUAAAUCAGCUUGCACUUUUGACCCAUCACACUCUCUGGUCUAUGUCAAUUUAAAAAUUGUGCUUUUUAUUUUUUUUUGCGUGUACGUGUGCAUGUGUGUAAAUUCAUUGUAUGUGUAUUUCUGUGCGGUUGGCUGCCUUGGAUUUAAUUUAGAAACUAAAUUAUGUGAGCGAUGACCAUUUUGUCAUUUCCCCGAAUCCCUCGGCUUUUGUUUUGUGCACAGAAAACACAUUAGCCGACUAUCUUCAAUGUGGUUUGACAUGAAAUCCAGGCGACAGUGUAACAACAGCAUAACCACAAGAAAGAAAACAAACCAUUUGUUGCAAAGAUGCAACUCGAUAUCCGCAGAAACGUCUCGCAUUUUCAUUGGCUUAGUGGACCAAUGGCAGCCAUCUAUAGGCGCACGGGACCAUAACAUAGAGACGAGGAACUGAGAGGAAAGACCACGGGAGGAGUUGAUGAGUCAUUGAUGAGACAUACAUUAUUAAUGAGCAUCAUGAUUGCAGAACAAAGAUUGGAAAUACGCAAUGCCAUCUGGACUACGAGUACGAUUUGUCAAAACAAAAGGGAAAAAUUGAAUUUUGAUUAAGUUUAUUACUGGGUCAAGAUCUAAUUCAUACAGCCACUCGUUGCCGUUUUCCCGACUGUGCUUGCGGUCCAGAAAGUGAAUUAUCAUGUUGAAAGGUCAUGGGCAUCCUCACAUUCUGAGCACUUCAGUGCAGUCAUUUACAAUAUUAUGAUAAUGUGCUUCGCCUUUAUUCGAUUGUAAAAGUUUAAUUGCAUUGGAUUGGAUCCACGGGAACAUUGGAAUAGCGUAUGCUGUCUUUAAUAAUCGUACUUUCUAGUGCGAUCACAAAGGGCCGGCCAGUGAGUUUCCCCGGGCAGCAUGUGGAAAGGUUGUGCAGCGGCUACUAGCUUUUAAGUAAAUUAUAAGCUAGGGGUGAUGGCCAAAAUAAGUCAUUCUAUGAUCAAAGCUUAUGCUGAUCCAUUUCUAUAGCAUUUGGGGCCUCACCUCACGUUAGGAACCAAUGCUCCAGCCUCCUUUACUUGUCCUACUAGAUUGUGGUUUCCGUCUCUGCAGCCCUACGGUCUGUUAUAAGGCCUCCCUAAAGCCUAGUUUAUGCUUCUGCGUUUUCAGAGCGACGCAGACGCAAGACCCGCUUGCGUGUCCCUUGAGUCCCUUUUCGCACCUCCUUGCGUCCUUGCGUGUGUCGAGCCAUUUUUCUAGGCUUGCGUCGCUUUUCGUAAAUAUGACCGCUUAUACAAGCCGUCAUUGGCGGCUUGUAGAAGCGUGUUGGAUUCACGGAGGGAGAUCGCCGCAAACGCCGGUUUGCCGGUCGAGAGGUGCACGAAGUUGUGGAGGAAAAUACGGGACAAAUGUGUCCGCGAUGGAAAGCAGCCGUGGCGAUGCACGGGGCAAUAAAGUCUAUGAUACGUAAAUAAACAUACCAACGGCUUCCACACACAAAGACGUGACUCUCCAGCUCGUCUUCAACAGAAACACGUUACUCCGCCUGUUGUUCUGGCGCUGAAUUGCUCUGCAACACACGCAGAACCAUGAAUUGAAACGAGUGCGUCGACGCAACGACGCAGAAGCCCGCGCCGGCCUUUAGGCUCGCCUGUGCAGUAGCAGCAGGGGGCUCGUAUCACUCCUUGCUGCUCGAGCAGGUGUUUUACUGCUGUGGGAGGACUGGCACACGCCCAGAGAUCUUCAGGGAGAGAAAGAGGGGAAAGUGAGGGAUUCUGUUCUGCACCGGGUCAGAGGAAUGCCUAACUGUAAUCAUCUGUGAUGGUAUAAUCGUAGCUCAGUCAAACUACUCCAGGCUGAUAAAUCCCCCCUCUCGUACCGCUGUGCGGUGCACACGCUCGCGCUCUCUCUCUCUCUGAUAUGAGUGAAACUGGCAAUCUGACUUUAAAGAGCCACGUCUCAGCUCCGUCUGAAGAGUCUUUAUCAUUCCAAGAGUUUCCUUUUCCCAAGCUUAUCUAGGAGCGCUCUGCUCAUUUUAAUCUGCGUCUGUGUAUGAAGAGUGUCCCAUCGGGGCUGCCAUACACUGCAAGAUUAAUGAACCCAAUUUGCAAAAGUGACCUUUUGGCUACUAAAGCACUGCCGCUGCUAAGCUUCUUAAUGCCUGCUUUAAAAAAAAAUGUUGUUGUAGAGAGCAACUCUUUGGAUAAGAGCAAGGAAAAUAAGCAGAUCAGGAGUCUGGAUUAAAGUCGUGCCGACGUGGCCGCGGUCACAACCCUCUGAGGACAAGUUUCAGUGAGGAGCUGAGGGAUGAGUGGAGCAUUAAACAAGCAAAUCAGAAGUGAGGAUGAUACUGUCAUGUGUUUACAACUACAAUAUCAGCGUGUCCACAUGCCGGACCGUGCGGGUUCCUCUCUCACAUUUGGUAUUGCAGCGUCGGAUUGCAUAAGAGGCACGAUGUUUCUUUUUUGAUUGAGCGCAGUGGACUGAAAGUCCAGCGUCAAUCGGCCGUUGAUAAAUGUGAGAGAUUUAACGGGUUUCGUAUAAAUUUGGCCCAACGUAACUCCAAAGCUGGGAAAUAAAAUGACGGAGAGCAGGACGGCGAGGAGGGGAUCCUGUUUCUUAGAAUUAAUGAGGUUGUUUUUUGGAACAGGAUGUAAGACACGUCCAGAAAAUCCACCCCACCUCCAUGUUGUCCAAUCAAACGUGGUUUCCAGUCCCGGGUUGCCUCUCUGCGGCUCUCAGCGAGUCGUCCCUGCGGCUCCGGGACAGCUCCGCGCAUACAUUAAAUUAGCCGUAACAAUGGAAAGGACAGUAAGAACCAUGUUGUGAUGGUGGCAAAAUGAUUAAGGCUUCAUUAAACCCUCCUCUUCAGAAACCCACAGUUCCCUCGGGGCGCUCUAAUCUUUUUAAAAUGAACUGACAUACGACUAACGGUCUGAAUUUGAAGGGAUUUUUAACGACAGUCACUUCAACAUUACUUAAUGAGUAGUUAAACUCCACCAUUAGGCCGUUAGUAAAGUAUGCACCAGUCUUUGGAUUUCUCUAACAUUUUGCACCUAAAGAAGGUCAGAAUCCCUUUCAAGGGAUUAAAAGGGACCGCAGAGAAGACAUUUCUAGUUAAAAUAUUUACUUUGAAUAUGAUAUUUUUACUCGAAAAAAGUUUAAACCUCUUCCUCACUUCCUUUACGAGCCGUCUCACAGUCUAAACUCGUCAUGGUACCAUGUACCUCGCAUCACUCGCUCGGAGCAGAAAUAAGAGUCCAAAUUCCAAAACGUGUCUCUACUUUGCAAAAAUAUUCAAUGCCAAAAUCUUUUCCUGGCGACUGUUACAGCGACGGGGCGUUAAAUGGCUCAUAAUGAAUUAUUAACUGAGAUUUGAAUACCAUUUAUCAUGUGCCAUUUCAGCUGCAGUCACAGGUGAGAAAUGGGGGGAAAAUACGGGCGCAUCCUGAAACGUACAAAGCACAGCUUCAGCCAGGCGAAGCCAUUAAAACGUAAGAUUACUGGCACAAAUUGCAAGUGACAAAAUAAACGAAAAAGGACUGGACAGCAGAAAAAACACUUUCAUCUCAGGGGAGACUAACAGGAGCUAUUUCAUGUAAAUUUCUGGUCGUCAAUUUAAAAACCCUUUAGUCUUCAUGUCCCGAAACAGACAAACAUAUUCGGGGGUUUCGAUAUAUUUGCAAAUCCUGCGCCUUCACUGUACCGAAUCGGAAAGGCAUUUGCUGCGUUUUGAAGGUAAAUCCAAUGUAGGAAUGUGGAUAUUAUUUUUCUCUGACAGGCUCUGUGAGCGUUUGCUCAGACAAAUAUGAUGACGGAGGCCCUUCGAAGGAGCAUUUUAGCGCGAGCAUCUGGUAUUUCAGGUUUAAAGGUUUGUAACGAGCAGUCUCAAGCUGUUCUUUCUACCCCACAGUCCCGCGAGCCAUCACUCUCGCUUCGAGGACGCAGGCUUUUAGAGGUACUGUAAGUGCUCCGAAAUACGAUUUAGCUGUGGAGCUCAGCCCUUAGUUCUUCAGUGAUUUCUGGUAUUCCCUGCCAUAUUUAUUCCGUUAACAUGAAUAAAAUGCAUUUACGGGGCGCAAACUGAGCAGCGGUCCGCCUGCCGCGCUCCAAAUUAUGAGGCUGUUAUUUAGCGGCCCUUUCUCUGAUGGUAAAGAGGGGAGAAUGAAAGAGCCGCUGGAUGCGUUUGCCAUUGACUCUGACAUUGGAGGAGAGAUUGAUUGCAGCGCUUUUGCCUUUGACACAAAUGUAUGUUUUUAAGCAAACGGGCGAAACAUCAAGUCUGUCAGGAAUAUAAAUGAGGGAGGUCCGAUAGCAGACGCGUAGCACGCCAGGCUCACUUGAAUCUAUUUUAGUUCCUUUCACUGAGAUCCAGUUGUUUUUUUACUUCUUUCACAGCCUGUGAGCGUCAGCAGUUGAAGGACCUUGGUGCAUGCGUGUCUGUUUGUUUGUGUGUUUGAGGAACCGUAUCUAUCAGGCGUUCUGGCAGCACAGUGCCAAGUCGUAUAAACUGAACCUCGGUCAAGAGGCUGCAUCCCGUCAUGAGCAAUGACCAUUAUGGGCUCCUCUCGCUGGCUCCGCUCCUGCCUUUCACUUAUGAAAAUGUGACAUCUCAAAUUCUCCUAAGAGGCGGAAACCUCUGUCUUUGUAAGUGAUGGUUCCAUUUAGAGUGAAAUAGACCAUGAAGCAUUUUUUGAUUGCCACCAAAUGUCUUCUUCGUCCCCGGGUCACUUCAGGUUCCCAAAACCAAGAUGCAGAACUCCAGCCUUCAAAAUCGGAGUUCAGAAACCAAAGGGCGACGUCUUACGUACAGCCUGGACUAGAAACACAUGAGAAUUCUCUAAACUCAACUAAUUGAUUAGCAAGUAUCUGUUAAAGCAGCACGAAGAGGCACAUUUCUGUUACAGACCUUCUCACCUUAUGUACCACGUCGUAUAGCCGGCACAUCGGCACGAUAAAACAACGCUGUCAUACACCGCUCGGGUCAUUUUCUCUGCGCUGUUAAUUCUGCAUUCUGCUGUUGCCAGAUCAACAUCUGCUACGAGACCGUCCAUGAUAAUCACAAAGCUGAAGUCGUAGAAACUGUGAGCUAUAUCGUGCAGUGAACUCUCAGUUAGUGAAUUCAGAUUGCCUUGGUGAGCAGCGUAAUGUCAAGGAUUCAAUUGUGAAAUACGUAGCUCUUUGUGUACUAUCUGCUCUUCUCACAUUAAAUUCACUUUUUUGUCCUAAUUGCCCUCCGGUCCCUCCUCCCGUCCGUCUGGCAAUUCUCUCCAGGCAAAGCUUCAUGAUACACAGUCGACAUCGUGGGACAUUUUGCGUCCACUAAUUAUCCGACCGACCUGAACAUGCUGUUGCGUAACGAUCAAAUUAUGUCAAAACGUUCUAUAUAACUGAAUAAAGAAUUAGAUUUUUCUCGAAUUACUCCAAUAUGUUACAGCUCUUAAAAAAAAAAACUGUCUUCAUUCGCUUUUAAAACAAGUUUAGGGUUUGAUUCCGCUUUCAUGUGCUAUUCCCAAGCUCAAGGGCCACUGGAGUGUUUUUCAUUUUGUAGCACAUCAGACAACACAUGUUGAGUGUCGCCGCUAUUCAGCCGGCCCGUCGCAUCGCGUUUGAUUGUAUUGAGCAAGUAGCAUAAUGUUGUUUUUUCCCCCGGACAAGAGCGGUCUGUUGAGAGCGCGGUCACCGGGUGAGGACAUUAGUUACCCCCUCCUCAUUCACACGGCGAGCUCACGGGGGCCGAAGCCGUCUCCUAGCAACCGGCAACAAAGUUUAGGCAAAUUCCUGUGUGUGGUCACGCUCGAUCAAAGCGGCGGAUGAUUUACAUUUUUUUUUUUUUUCAAUCAGAGCAACAAAAACACACUUUUGUCAGAUUAAUUAGAUACAGAAAUGAUGCUGUACACGGAAAACAGGUGUCGUUUCCCUCCUUCUGCUGCUCUUGGUCUCUGUUGCAGGAAAUACGGUGACGUGGGAGGUAAACGCACUUCUGCUUAUUAUUGAAGCAUUUAGCAUCAAAAUGAAUGAAUGCCAUCUGAGAAUAGCGUGCAAACAGGCUCCUGUUGCCUCGCAGUGUGGGACUUGUUUCACAGUGGGGGGGUUAGGGGGGGCACAGAGAGAGAAAAUGAAUUUGAGAUAGCAGUGAAAAAAGGGAGGUGGGGGCCAA